UAUUGAAGCUGAUUUUUUCCUUUCAACGAUUAUUCCUUUAAUUACAAUUGACAAUUGAUCGAUACUGGACCAUAAAUAAAUUAAUCACCAGUAAUAAAAACUAUUACUAAUAUUACAACGAUUAAAUUACAACUCAAUUACAUACUAUAUCUUCUAUAAGGAUAAGAAUGGAUGCAAACAUAUUUAAAAAUUUGCAAUUCUAUGCAAUUCAAAAGUUUAAGGAGCGGCGUACGGCAACGAACGAGCCAUUUUGGGGGGUCAAAGUUAUUCACGCCGGUGUGUAGCUGCGGCCAAACAGCGGUGGAGCUAAGAAGUAACGGCGGUGGAGGUUUACGGCCGAUGCCAGAUUCGUGGAAAGUGUAUUCAAGUAUUCUCGAGGAAUCUCGUAUGAUUUACGAUAAGAGAGAGAGAGAGAGAGAGAGAGAGAGAGGAGGAGGA